GACGAACGCUGGCGGCGUGCUUAACACAUGCAAGUCGAACGAAGUGGCGGACGGGUGAGUAACGCGUAAUCAACCUGCCCUUCCGUGGGGGAUAACAGUUGGAAACGACUGCUAAUACCGCAUCAUGAGGGCGGGGGUUGCGUUUGAUUAGCUAGUUGGAGGGGUAACGGCCAACCAAGGCGAGGAUAAGUAGCCGGUCUGAGAGGAUGAACGGCCACAUUGGGACUGAGACACGGCCCAGACUCCUACGGGAGGCAGCAGUGGGGAAUCUUCCGCAAUGGAGGAAAGCCUGACCGAGCAACGCCGCGUGAGUGAUGACGGUCUUCGGGUUGUAAAGCUCUGUUAAUCAGGACGCGGUACCGGAAUAGAAAGCCACGGCUAACUACGUGCCAGCAGCCGCGGUAAUUC
rnacentral:rRNA from 1 species